GAGUUUCCUUGUGUGCGUCUCAGAGUUGGAGGAGUUCUAGCCUCUACAGGAUCUUCACACAUCGAAUCUAAACAGAAACCAACUUUAAACUGGUCAUCACACAUGAGCAUCCUUGCCUCGGAGCAGACAGUGAUAAAAUUUGAUGGAGAACACCUGCUUUUUUCUUGGUCAUCUGCUAGAGAAAAAUCUGUUUCUCUUGCCCUUGGGUUUGCGGCUCAUCAGAAGUAGCCUGUCCAAAUUGUGUGUUGGAUCUUCCUUCUUUGCCUUUGGACGAAAACCUCUGGUAGACUCAUCCUCAGGGUAUCUAUGGAUUCUUCGAAGACUAACUACCGCGGACGCUGUGCGCUGACCUGAGCGACGCCCGACGUGUGCCUGCGCAGGACGUCCAUCUACUUCCGCUUCUGGUGCUGAGCUCUGCAUGACCUUUUACUCCCGUGGGCCCUCAGCCCUUGUAGGAAACCACAUGAUGAGAUCCUCUCCAGGUGGCGCCUGCCUCCCUGCCCUCUGUAGAGUCCACCCUGAUCCAGUAUUUUCUCUGUGUUCAGCCAUGCGGAUUCCUUCCAUCCAACCUCUUGCCUUCAAAGUUUUUCAGGCGAGAGCCAGCCUCUUUGUUUUCCAAAUUCCUCACAUGUCAAGAUCAAAGUUUUCUCACUGGACCUGAGGUUGGUUAACAAAGCGUAGUGGAGGGGAAGAAAAGCGUGGGGUUUACUGACAGUUGUUCUAAAACAUUAUUUAUCCAUCUUCCUAAUGCACUCUUAGCUUUUGUUCUAUAAUGGAAGGUAGGCGAUAGGCUAAGCGGGCCCGAACCUGGUUUUGGCAGCCUCCUUUGCAGGUCACGUGUAAACGACCGGGCGUCUCUCUCUAGGAGGCAGGGGCAUUUGUCACAUAACUUCUCAGCUUUGAAAUCCCAGCCAAAACUGAAACAAUGGAACAAAUCCCAUUUAGACUUCACACAUAUAAAAAAAAAUCUUCAAAAUUUUCUAAACGUUGUAGACCAUGGGGCGGAAAAGACCCCGUGGAUUAUGUAAGAGCAUGUUCUGCAUUAAGAUAGUUGUUGUAGUGUUAAUUAUAAAACUGUAAAAUUCCAAAAUGGUAAUUUGGAGGUAAUCCAGAGUCCUGUGAUAGGAGGAUGGCUCAGGAAGUGAGGACAUAUCUCUAUUAAGGGAGACCAUGCUACUAAAAUAACAGUAACAGACUACGCCGUCAUGUGGGAAAAUACAGUUCAACAUUAAGUGGGAAAAGCAAGAUACAAAACUGUCUUCACGCUACGUUUACAACUCUGUAAGAUACUUAUUAAGAAGCUUGGGCUAGGUAGUCAAACAGUUAGUUUUCUACUCACUCCUCUGUGACUUGGUAGUUUGAUAGCCUUGGGGCAGUUAUUUAAAACCUCCAGCUCUUCUCUCUAAAAGAAGGAUCAUGCUUGCUAUUGUUGUCAUGAGACUUACGUGAGCUGAGGCAGAGAAAGUCUUACUGGGAACUUAGUAAUUACUCAAAAAGCUUGGGAAAGACAUACAAAAAUGAAAAAUAGGAAUGAGGUUAAAAUAGUAAUAUUUCUUUUACCUUGUUUAUAAUCUUCCCCUAACAAUGUUAUAUUACUUCCAUAAUUAAAAACAGACUCGAAGAAACCGAGUUAUCAGCAGGCCAAUAUCCUGGUGAUGCCACAGCCCACAGAGUCGGAGGAUGACUCCUAAACGGGAGGCUGUACCGAGCUGAGGCUUCCUCACAUUUCAUGCACAAAUCUGCUUCCCAGCAGAUCGUGCGAAACAGUCUAAAAAAACACAUCCCAAUUAUUGGUGUUCUCCAGCCAUCUUUGCAUCCCCUGGGUAUCACUCCCUUAGACUUCAGAUGUAUGCUACAGUGGCUCACCUUGCUUCUUCCCAGUCCAUUUAUGUCACAUGAUACAACCCAAAUAAAAUAUUUCAGAAAUAAACCAAGGCUAAUAUCUUCUGAUGCAAGAGGGAAAAUUACAGUCUCCUAGAGUAGGUUUAAUUCAAACAAGAGAAUAUAUCUUGGCAAACCUUCCAAUGACUUUUAUUACAGUUUACUGUAUGCCCUCAUUAUCAGAACUAUAAUAUGCAUAUACCUUGGGUAUUAAAGUAAACCACUUUUGAAGGUUUGCAAAUAAACUCCCUUCCUAAUGCAUUAUCACUCUUUCAUUUACUGCUAUUUGCACUUGUAAAAACAUUACAUGCAUUAUUUCAAACUAAGAAGAGAGCCAACCAUAGCGUUUAAAAAGGAUGAAAAGGUUGAAAAUUUUAAAGGUCUUUGUUGAAUGGAUUUAUGACUAGGACCUUGACCGUUUCCCAGAAACAUGUGAUUAACCUAAACUAAUCUCUCAAGUCUAAGUAAAAUUAACUUUUGCAUAUUUACUUUUUACGUGGCUUUAUGCUGUCACUUCUAGUGAGAACUAGUCAACUUGCUCAAUCAAUAAUAAAAAAAUCUAUAUUCUCAUACUUGAAGGGAAAUUUAAAUAAUUACAACUGCAUGUCCCGUUUCAUGGUUAUACCGGGAUAAAUGAUUAAAAACAACCCCCCAAAUAGAAACAUAUCCAACAGAACAUUUAAGAAUUAUCUUCCUUUGACCUUUUAUUAUUUAAAGAAAAGAUGGUAAAGUUUGGCUGGGACCUUGCAGUCAAUUAUUUUUAGAAGGAACUGGGGGACUUCCCUGGUGGCGCAGUGGUUAAGAAUCUGCUCGUCAAUGCAGGGGA